CACCCACCCAUCCCUGGACACCGGACACCUACCCAACCCUGUCCCCUACAGAUCUACCCAACCCUGUCCCCUGGACACCUACCCAACCUAUAAUAAAGGUCUGGGUCAGCCAAUAAAGGUCAGCCAUUAAAGGUCAGCCAAUAAAGGUCAGGGUCAGCCAUUAAAGGUCAGCCAUUAAAGGUCAGCCAAUAAAGGUCAGCCAUUAAAGGUCAGCCAUUAAAGGUCAGCCAAUAAAGGUCAGGGUCAGCCAUUAAAGGUCAGCCAUUAAAGGUCAGCCAUUAAAGGUCAGCCAUUAAAGGUCAGCCAUUCAAGGUCAGCCAAUGACUAAAUAGGAAAUAUGGUGGCAUUUGGAACUCAUACCCUAAAGUACAUGAACUAGCCGAUACAGUAUAUAUGAACAUUUAGAGAGAGAGAGAGAGAGAGAGAGAGAGAGAGAGACGGAGAGACAGAGAGACGGAGAGACAGAGAGACAGAGAGAGAGAGAGAGAGAGAGAGAGAAAGAUAAAGUACAUGCUCAAACAGGUUCCUGCAUUUUUUGUUGUUGAAGGAUUCAAACUUUUCACUCCCAUCAAUCUCUUCUUCUUUUCUCUCUAACCCCCCCCUUCUCUCUCUCUCCCCC
rnacentral:lncRNA from 1 species